AUGGCGUUCGCCGACGAGUACCAGGGCGUGGAGGCCCACGGCAACACCAAGUUGCACGUCAUCCACACCAACGACAUGAAGCAGAUGGCGAUCACCCUCGCGCAGUACGAGCACCACCUCAGCCUCCAGCGCCACAAGAUGUGCAUCGUCUUCGACAACUUCCUCGCCGACCCCAAGUACACCUUUGCAGGCUUCUCCAUCGACGGCGACAAAAAAAGGCUAGAGCGCGUCAGUCUGGAGGUCGCCAACUUCGUCGACAUCCAGAAGGAGUUGGACUCCCUUGGAGACGUCUCCGGCAUGCUCAUCGACGACUACUACAACAACAUGAAGAAGAAGAUCACCGACGACAAGCACAAGCACUGGGCCACCCUGCCUCUGUCCAUGAGGCACAUCGAGUACGCGGCAAAGGACGCCUACGCAGCAUACGAGAUAUGGAACCGCAUCACCCUCACCCAGGACGGGCUUCGCCGUGCAAAGAUGGAGAAGGAGGAGCCCCCCAAGAAGCGCGCCGGGAGCAGCUGGGGAUGGGGAGACGCUAACUGGUGA
rnacentral:rRNA from 1 species